rnacentral:tRNA from 1 species
AAGACUCUAGCUUAAUUAAAGUGUCUGAGUUGCAUUCAGAUGAUGUAGGUUAAUGACCUACGGGCCUUA